rnacentral:pre_miRNA from 1 species
AAUAGAUGAUACCGUUGAUUUUUUCUCACGUGUUUGACCAUUCGUCUUAUUUAAAAAAUUUACGUAAUUAUAAUUUAUUUUAUUAUGAGUUGUUUUAUCACUCAUAGUACUUUAAGUGUGAUUUAUAUCUUAUACAUUUGCAUAGAAUUUUUGAAUAAGACGAAUGGUCAAACACGUGAGAAAAAAUCAACGGCGUCAUCUAUU